UGGGGAAUUUUGGACAAUGGGGGAAACCCUGAUCCAGCCAUCCCGCGUGUGCGAUGAAGGCCUUCGGGUUGUAAAGCACUUUUGGCAGGAAAGAAACGUCAUGGGUUAAUACCCCGUGAAACUGACGGUACCUGCAGAAUAAGCACCGGCUAACUACGUGCCAGCAGCCGCGGUAAUACGUAGGGUGCAAGCGUUAAUCGGAAUUACUGGGCGUAAAGCGUGCGCAGGCGGUUCGGAAAGAAAGAUGUGAAAUCCCAGGGCUCAACUUUGGAACUGCAUUUUUGACUAGCGGGCUAGAGUGUGUCAGAGGGAGGUGGAAUUCCGCGUGUAGGAGUGAAAUGCAUAGAUAUGCGGAGGAACACCGAUGGCGAAGGCAGCCUCCUGGGAUAACACUGACGCUCAUGCACGAAAGCGUGGGGAGCAAACAGG
rnacentral:rRNA from 1 species